GGGUUGUGAGGUUAAGCGACUAAGCGUACACGGUGGAUGCCCUGGCAGUCAGAGGCGAUGAAGGGCGUGCUAAUCUGCGAUAAGCGCCGGUAAGGUGAUAUGAACCGUUAUAACCGGCGAUACCCGAAUGGGGAAACCCAGUGUGACUCGUCACACUAUCAUUAACUGAAUCCAUAGGUUAAUGAGGCGAACCGGGGGAACUGAAACAUCUAAGUACCCCGAGGAAAAGAAAUCAACCGAGAUUCCCCCAGUAGCGGCGAGCGAACGGGGAGGAGCCCAGAGCCUGAAUCAGCAUGUGUGUUAGUGGAAGCGUCUGGAAAGGCGCGCGAUACAGGGUGACAGCCCCGUACACAAAAGCGCAUGUGCUGUGAGCUCGAUGAGUAGGGCGGGACACGUGGUAUCCUGUCUGAAUAUGGGGGGACCAUCCUCCAAGGCUAAAUACUCCUGACUGACCGAUAGUGAACCAGUACCGUGAGGGAAAGGCGAAAAGAACCCCGGCGAGGGGAGUGAAAAAGAACCUGAAACCGUGUACGUACAAGCAGUGGGAGCACCCUUUGGGGUGUGACUGCGUACCUUUUGUAUAAUGGGUCAGCGACUUAUAUUCUGUAGCAAGGUUAACCGAAUAGGGGAGCCGGAGGGAAACCGAGUCUUAAUUGGGCGUUAAGUUGCAGGGUAUAGACCCGAAACCCGGUGAUCUAGCCAUGGGCAGGUUGAAGGUUGGGUAACACUAACUGGAGGACCGAACCGACUAAUGUUGAAAAAUUAGCGGAUGACCUGUGGCUGGGGGUGAAAGGCCAAUCAAACCGGGAGAUAGCUGGUUCUCCCCGAAAGCUAUUUAGGUAGCGCCUCGUGAAUUCAUCUCCGGGGGUAGAGCACUGUUUCGGCUAGGGGGCCAUCCCGGCUUACCAACCCGAUGCAAACUGCGAAUACCGGAGAAUGUUAUCACGGGAGACACACGGCGGGUGCUAACGUCCGUCGUGAAGAGGGAAACAACCCAGACCGCCAGCUAAGGUCCCAAAGUCAUGGUUAAGUGGGAAACGAUGUGGGAAGGCCCAGACAGCCAGGAUGUUGGCUUAGAAGCAGCCAUCAUUUAAAGAAAGCGUAAUAGCUCACUGGUCGAGUCGGCCUGCGCGGAAGAUGUAACGGGGCUAAACCAUGCACCGAAGCUGCGGCAGCGACACUCAGGUGUUGUUGGGUAGGGGAGCGUUCUGUAAGCCUGCGAAGGUGGCCUGUGAGGGUUGCUGGAGGUAUCAGAAGUGCGAAUGCUGACAUAAGUAACGAUAAAGCGGGUGAAAAGCCCGCUCGCCGGAAGACCAAGGGUUCCUGUCCAACGUUAAUCGGGGCAGGGUGAGUCGACCCCUAAGGCGAGGCCGAAAGGCGUAGUCGAUGGGAAACGGGUUAAUAUUCCCGUACUUGGUGUUACUGCGAAGGGGGGACGGAGAAGGCUAUGUUGGCCGGGCGACGGUUGUCCCGGUUUAAGCGUGUAGGCUGGUUUUCCAGGCAAAUCCGGAAAAUCAAGGCUGAGGCGUGACGACGAGGCACUACGGUGCUGAAGCAACAAAUGCCCUGCUUCCAGGAAAAGCCUCUAAGCAUCAGGUAACAUCAAAUCGUACCCCAAACCGACACAGGUGGUCAGGUAGAGAAUACCAAGGCGCUUGAGAGAACUCGGGUGAAGGAACUAGGCAAAAUGGUGCCGUAACUUCGGGAGAAGGCACGCUGACACGUAGGUGAAGUGAUUUACUCAUGGAGCUGAAGUCAGUCGAAGAUACCAGCUGGCUGCAACUGUUUAUUAAAAACACAGCACUGUGCAAACACGAAAGUGGACGUAUACGGUGUGACGCCUGCCCGGUGCCGGAAGGUUAAUUGAUGGGGUCAGCGCAAGCGAAGCUCCUGAUCGAAGCCCCGGUAAACGGCGGCCGUAACUAUAACGGUCCUAAGGUAGCGAAAUUCCUUGUCGGGUAAGUUCCGACCUGCACGAAUGGCGUAAUGAUGGCCAGGCUGUCUCCACCCGAGACUCAGUGAAAUUGAACUCGCUGUGAAGAUGCAGUGUACCCGCGGCAAGACGGAAAGACCCCGUGAACCUUUACUAUAGCUUGACACUGAACAUUGAGCCUUGAUGUGUAGGAUAGGUGGGAGGCUUUGAAGUGUGGACGCCAGUCUGCAUGGAGCCGGCCUUGAAAUACCACCCUUUAAUGUUUGAUGUUCUAACGUGGACCCGUGAUCCGGGUUGCGGACAGUGUCUGGUGGGUAGUUUGACUGGGGCGGUCUCCUCCUAAAGAGUAACGGAGGAGCACGAAGGUUGGCUAAUCCUGGUCGGACAUCAGGAGGUUAGUGCAAUGGCAUAAGCCAGCUUGACUGCGAGCGUGACGGCGCGAGCAGGUGCGAAAGCAGGUCAUAGUGAUCCGGUGGUUCUGAAUGGAAGGGCCAUCGCUCAACGGAUAAAAGGUACUCCGGGGAUAACAGGCUGAUACCGCCCAAGAGUUCAUAUCGACGGCGGUGUUUGGCACCUCGAUGUCGGCUCAUCACAUCCUGGGGCUGAAGUAGGUCCCAAGGGUAUGGCUGUUCGCCAUUUAAAGUGGUACGCGAGCUGGGUUUAGAACGUCGUGAGACAGUUCGGUCCCUAUCUGCCGUGGGCGCUGGAGAACUGAGGGGGCUGCUCCUAGUACGAGAGGACCGGAGUGGACGCAUCACUGGUGUUCGGGUUGUCAUGCCAAUGGCACUGCCCGGUAGCUAAAUGCGGAAGAGAUAAGUGCUGAAAGCAUCUAAGCACGAAACUUGCCCCGAGAUGAGUUCUCCCUGAGACUUAGAGUCUCCUGAAGGAACGUUGAAGACGACGACGUUGAUAGGCCGGGUGUGUAAGCGCAGCGAUGCGUUGAGCUAACCGGUACUAAUGAACCGUGAGGCUUAACCUUACAACGCCGAAG
rnacentral:rRNA from 1 species